rnacentral:rRNA from 1 species
UACAGAGGUCUCGAGCGUUAGGCGGAAUCACUGGGCUUAAAGCGUGUGUAGGCGGGUCGUUAAGUGCCUUGUGAAAUCCCAUGGCUCAACCAUGGAACUGCUGGGCAUACUGGCGAUCUUGUGCAACCUAGGGGCGAGCGGAACAGAUGGUGGAGCGGUGAAAUGCGUAGAUAUCGUUUGGAACGCCAAUGGUGAAAACAGGUCGCUGGGGAUGAGCUGACGCUGAGACACGAAAGCCAGGGGAGCAAACGGG